GCACGACGAUUUUCAAAAAACUUUUAACUUUAGAAACUUUAAAAACUUUAUAAACUCUUUUGCCCGUAGAGACUAAAUGUUGACCUCUGAUUUUUUAAAAAAUCAGACGAAGUUAUAGUCCGAUCCCGUUAGUAAUAACGGU
rnacentral:autocatalytically_spliced_intron from 3 species